GAGCCGGGCGGGGGAGUCUUACAUGCAGUACGAGCGAACAGAUGAGAAGCUUGCUUCUCUGAUGUUAGCGGCGGACGGGUGAGUAACACGUGGGUAACCUACCUAUAAGACUGGGAUAACUCCGGGAAACCGGGGCUAAUACCGGAUAAUAUUUUGAACCGCAUGGUUCAAUAGUGAAAGACGGUUUCGGCUGUCACUUAUAGAUGGACCCGCGCCGUAUUAGCUAGUUGGUAAGGUAACGGCUUACCAAGGCGACGAUACGUAGCCGACCUGAGAGGGUGAUCGGCCACACUGGAACUGAGACACGGUCCAGACUCCUACGGGAGGCAGCAGUAGGGAAUCUUCCGCAAUGGGCGAAAGCCUGACGGAGCAACGCCGCGUGAGUGAUGAAGGUCUUCGGAUCGUAAAACUCUGUUGUUAGGGAAGAACAAAUUUGUUAGUAACUGAACAAGUCUUGACGGUACCUAACCAGAAAGCCACGGCUAACUACGUGCCAGCAGCCGCGGUAAUACGUAGGUGGCAAGCGUUAUCCGGAAUUAUUGGGCGUAAAGCGCGCGUAGGCGGUUUCUUAAGUCUGAUGUGAAAGCCCACGGCUCAACCGUGGAGGGUCAUUGGAAACUGGGAAACUUGAGUGCAGAAGAGGAGAGUGGAAUUCCAUGUGUAGCGGUGAAAUGCGCAGAGAUAUGGAGGAACACCAGUGGCGAAGGCGGCUCUCUGGUCUGUAACUGACGCUGAUGUGCGAAAGCGUGGGGAUCAAACAGGAUUAGAUACCCUGGUAGUCCACGCCGUAAACGAUGAGUGCUAAGUGUUAGGGGGUUUCCGCCCCUUAGUGCUGCAGCUAACGCAUUAAGCACUCCGCCUGGGGGAGUACGACCGCAUGU
rnacentral:rRNA from 2 species